rnacentral:rRNA from 1 species
UCUNAAAAGUUCGGGGCUUAACCCCGUGAUGGGAUGGAAACUGCCAAUCUAGAGUAUCGGAGAGGAAAGUGGAAUUCCUAGUGUAGCGGUGAAAUGCGUAGAUAUUAGGAAGAACACCAGUGGCGAAGGCGACUUUCUGGACGAAAACUGACGCUGAGGCGCGAAAGCCAGGGGAGCGAACGGGAUUAGAUACCCCGGUAGUCCUGGCCGUAAACGAUGGGUACUAGGUGUAGGAGGUAUCGACCCCUUCUGUGCCGGAGUUAACGCAAUAAGUACCCCGCCUGGGGAGUACGACCGCAAGGUUGAAACUCAAAGGAAUUGACGGGGGCCCGCACAAGCGGUGGAGUAUGUGGUUUAAUUCGACGCAACGCGAAGAACCUUACCAGGUCUUGACAUUGAUGGACAGAACUAGAGAUAGUUCCUCUUCUUCGGAAGCCAGAAAACAGGUGGUGCACGGUUGUCGUCAGCUCGUGUCGUGAGAUGUUGGGUUAANNNNNNCAACGAGCGCAACCCCUAUCUUAUGUUGCCAGCACUUUGGGUGGGAACUCAUGAGAGACUACCGCAGACAAUGCGGAGGAAGGCGGGGAUGACGUCAAAUCAUCAUGCCCCUUAUGACCUGGGCUACACACGUACUACAAUGGGAGUUAAUAGACGGAAGCGAGAUCGCGAGAUGGAGCAAACCCGAGAAACACUCUCUCAGUUCGGAUCGUAGGCUGCAACUCGCCUACGUGAAGUCGGAAUCGCUAGUAAUCGCAGGUCAGCAUACUGCGGUGAAUACGUUCCCGGGCCU